rnacentral:rRNA from 1 species
CCUACGGGAGGCAGCAGUGAGGAAUAUUGGUCAAUGGGCGCGAGCCUGAACCAGCCAUGUAGCGUGAAGGAUGACUGCCCUACGGGUUGUAAACUUCUUUUAUAAAGGAAUAAAGUGAGGCACUCGUGCCUUUUUGUAUGUACUUUAUGAAUAAGGAUCGGCUAACUCCGUGCCAGCAGCCGCGGUAAUACGGCGGAUCCGAGCGUUAUCCGGAUUUAUUGGGUUUAAAGGGUGCGUAGGCGGCCUGUUCAGUAAGCUGUGAAAGCCUGUGGCUCAACUAUAGAAUUGCCGUUGAUACUGGGAGGCUUGAGUAUAUUUGAGGUAGGCGGAAUGCGUGGUGUAGCGGUGAAAUGCUUAGAUAUCACGCAGAACCCCGAUUGCGAAGGCAGCCUGCCAAGCCAUGACUGACGCUGAUGCACGAAAGCGUGGGGAUCAAACAGGAUUAGAUACCCCUGUAGUC